CUGGAAAUGAUGCUUGUUUUAUAAACUGAAGUUUUCUAAUGAUUGUUUCAGUGUUCGUACUGUCUGAUCCAU